rnacentral:lncRNA from 1 species
GGGAUCUUUAGGCUAUUAUUAUUGGGGGGUGGGGAGGGGAUAGGAGGGAGACAGGUGAGUGAGCUCAAUCUGAUUUACAAUUCAGGCUUGUAUUGAUCAUCUAUUGGUAAAUAACAAGGCCUUGGUCACUGUCACAGUCCAUAUAAGGUAAGGACUGGGAAUAUGGAACAAGAUUAUUGUGGCUAAUUCUGUUGCCAUUCAUCUUAGCUGUUGAGAUGAAGAUUGUGAGGAGGGAGACCAGAAGAUAACAGACGAGGACACAGCAGAAGGGCCUGGUCACACUUGAGCUUAUUUCUUGGAAGAGUCUGAGAAGACAGCCUGUCAGGCUCCUAACACCAAGGGCCAUGUAACCUGUGAAGCAGCCAUUAUACAUGAUUUGGUCUACACUUGCUGGAAAAAAUCUACAAGAGGAUCCGGAAGCUAGCCGACAUUUUUGGCUAGUACAUAGCCAGGCAGCCAUUGGAAUCAGAGCUGCAGACAGAUUAAGGCCAGCCUGGCCUACAUUGAGAAACCUCAUUUUGGAAAAGUGGAAUAAUCUGUAAAUUAACAUGCAGUUGGUUCAAUAAAGACUUUUGGAAAGUA